rnacentral:rRNA from 1 species
UGGGGAAUUUUGGACAAUGGGGGAAACCCUGAUCCAGCCAUCCCGCGUGUGCGAUGAAGGCCUUCGGGUUGUAAAGCACUUUUGGCAGGAAAGAAACGUCAUGGGUUAAUACCCCGUGAAACUGACGGUACCUGCAGAAUAAGCACCGGCUAACUACGUGCCAGCAGCCGCGGUAAUACGUAGGGUGCAAGCGUUAAUCGGAAUUACUGGGCGUAAAGCGUGCGCAGGCGGUUCGGAAAGAAAGGUGUGAAAUCCCAGAGCUCAACUUGGGAACUGCAUUUUUAACUACAGGGCUAGAGUGUGUCAGAGGGAGGUGGAAUUCCGCGUGUAGCAGUGAAAUGCGUAGAUAUGAGGAGGAACACCGAUGGCGAAGGCAGCCUCCUGGGAUAACACUGACGCUCAUGCACGAAAGCGUGGGGAGCAAACAGG